AGUAAUACAUAAGUAACCUGCCCUAGACAGGGGGAUAACUAUUGGAAACGAUAGCUAAGACCGCAUAGGUACGGACACUGCAUGGUGACCGUAUUAAAAGUGCCUCAAAGCACUGGUAGAGGAUGGACUUAUGGCGCAUUAGCUGGUUGGCGGGGUAACGGCCCACCAAGGCGACGAUGCGUAGCCGACCUGAGAGGGUGACCGGCCACACUGGGACUGAGGCACGGCCCAG
rnacentral:rRNA from 1 species